UGCAGUCGAGCGGAUCUUCAUUAGCUUGCUUUUGAAGAUCAGCGGCGGACGGGUGAGUAACACGUGGGCAACCUGCCUGUAAGACUGGGAUAACUUCGGGAAACCGGAGCUAAUACCGGAUAAUCCUUUCCCUCACAUGAGGGAAAGCUGAAAGACGGUUUCGGCUGUCACUUACAGAUGGGCCCGCGGCGCAUUAGCUAGUUGGUGAGGUAACGGCUCACCAAGGCAACGAUGCGUAGCCGACCUGAGAGGGUGAUCGGCCACACUGGGACUGAGACACGGCCCAGACUCCUACGGGAGGCAGCAGUAGGGAAUCUUCCGCAAUGGACGAAAGUCUGACGGAGCAACGCCGCGUGAGCGAUGAAGGCCUUCGGGUCGUAAAGCUCUGUUGUCAGGGAAGAACAAGUACCGGAGUAACUGCCGGUACCUUGACGGUACCUGACCAGAAAGCCACGGCUAACUACGUGCCAGCAGCCGCGGUAAUACGUAGGUGGCAAGCGUUGUCCGGAAUUAUUGGGCGUAAACGCGCGCAGGCGGUUCCUUAAGUCUGAUGUGAAAGCCCCCGGCUCAACCGGGGAGGGUCAUUGGAAACUGGGGAACUUGAGUGCAGAAGAGGAGAGCGGAAUUCCACGUGUAGCGGUGAAAUGCGUAGAGAUGUGGAGGAACACCAGUGGCGAAGGCGGCUCUCUGGUCUGUAACUGACGCUGAGGCGCGAAAGCGUGGGGAGCGAACAGGAUUAGAUACCCUGGUAGUCCACGCCGUAAACGAUGAGUGCUAAGUGUUAGAGGGUUUCCGCCCUUUAGUGCUGCAGCAAACGCAUUAAGCACUCCGCCUGGGGAGUACGGCCGCAAGGCUGAAACUCAAAGGAAUUGACGGGGGCCCGCACAAGCGGUGGAGCAUGUGGUUUAAUUUCGAAGCAACGCGAAGAACCUUAC
rnacentral:rRNA from 2 species